AGAUUGAACGCUGGCGGCAUGCCUUACACAUGCAAGUCGAGCGGCAGCACGGGGGCAACCCUGGUGGCGAGUGGCGAACGGGUGAGUAAUACAUCGGAACGUAUCCUAUAGCGGGGGAUAACCUCUCGAAAGAGAGGCUAAUACCGCAUACGACCUAAGGGUGAAAGAGGGGGAUCGCAAGACCUCUCACUAUUGGAGCGGCCGAUGUCGGAUUAGCUAGUUGGCGGGUAAAAGCCCACCAAGGCUACGAUCCGUAGCUGGUCUGAGAGGACGACCAGCCACACUGGAACUGAGACACGGUCCAGACUCCUACGGGAGGCAGCAGUGGGGAAUUUUGGACAAUGGGCGCAAGCCUGAUCCAGCCAUGCCGCGUGAGUGAAGAAGGCCUUGGUUGUAAGCUCGUUCGGCGGACGAAAGAUUCGGUAAUACCGGAUCCAUGACGGUCCGACAGAAGAAGCCGACCGCUAACUACGUAGCCG
rnacentral:rRNA from 1 species